UGCCAGCCGCCGCGGUAAUACGGAGGAUCCAAGCGUUAUCCGGAAUCAUUGGGUUUAAAGGGUCCGUAGGUUGAUAAUUAAGUCAGAGGUGAAAGUUUGCAGCUCAACUGUAAAGUUGCCUUUGAUACUGUUUAUCUUGAAUUAUUGUGAAGUGGUUAGAAUAUGUAGUGUAGCGGUGAAAUGCAUAGAUAUUACAUAGAAUACCAAUUGCGAAGGCAGAUCACUAACAAUAUAUUGACACUGAUGGAUGAAAGCGUGGGGAGCGAACAGGAUUAGAUA
rnacentral:rRNA from 1 species